rnacentral:rRNA from 1 species
CCUACGGGGGGCAGCAGUGAGGAAUAUUGGUCAAUGGACGAGAGUCUGAACCAGCCAAGUAGCGUGAAGGAUGACUGCCCUAUGGGUUGUAAACUUCUUUUAUAUGGGAAUAAAACGUUCCACGUGUGGGAUUUUGUAUGUACCAUAUGAAUAAGGAUCGGCUAACUCCGUGCCAGCAGCCGCGGUAAUACGGAGGAUCCGAGCGUUAUCCGGAUUUAUUGGGUUUAAAGGGAGCGUAGGUGGAUUGUUAAGUCAGUUGUGAAAGUUUGCGGCUCAACCGUAAAAUUGCAGUUGAAACUGGCAGUCUUGAGUACAGUAGAGGUGGGCGGAAUUCGUGGUGUAGCGGUGAAAUGCUUAGAUAUCACGAAGAACUCCGAUUGCGAAGGCAGUUCACUGGACUGCAACUGACACUGAGGCUCGAAAGUGUGGGUAUCAAACAGGAUGAGAUACCCGUGUAGUC